rnacentral:sRNA from 1 species
GUAUGGCAUCCUGUUAGACUACACAGCAGAAUAUGAAGGCACCAAACAACGUAUUUCUAAUGCAUUUAAAGUCAAGGAACAUUUUAUGAAAGCAAUAGAGCUUAACCCAAAGGAUGCAACAACAUUACACUGUCUAGGAUACUGGUGUUUCCUGUUUGCUGACAUGCCGUGGUACCAGCGUAAAGUUGCAUCAGUUAUUUUUGCUUCUCCUCCAACAUCAACAUAUGACGAGGCCUUGGAGUAUUUCAUUAAAGCUGAAGAAGGUGAGUCUGGCCAUUAGAUACUUUAGUCUUCAUGUAAUACUUAGCUUAGCC